rnacentral:rRNA from 1 species
GACGAACGCUGGCGGCGUGCUUAACACAUGCAAGUCGAGCGGUAAGGCCCUUUCGGGGGUACGACGAGCGGCGAACGGGUGAGUAACACGUGGGUGACCUGCCUUUAGCUUCGGGAUAAGCCUGGGAAACCGGGUCUAAUACCGGAUAUGACCUCAUGUCGCAUGGUGUGGGGUGGAAAGUUCUUCGGCUAGAGAUGGGGCCCGCAGCCUAUCAGCUUGUUGGUGGGGUGAUGGCCUACCAAGGCGACGACGGGUAGCCGGCCUGAGAGGGCGACCGGCCACACUGGGACUGAGACACGG